CCGCCGCGCCUGCUCCCGCAGUCCAGCCGGCCUUUUCAUCCGAUUCAUCCCCCCGCUAACACACAGCCCCGUGCUCCUUCUGCGGCCCGCGGCCCACCACAUGUCCCAAACUGACCGUGCAGGAAAACAUACCGCAGCUGUGGAGUCUCUGAAUGGGGCUGACCUCAGCACCGAAUCCUGAAAAAACCACCUUUGACCUCUGCUCGGAGUCAUGCCAGCCGAACUGCACACCGUUUUCCCUGUUUUACUGUCUACGGGCAGUUAGAGUUCACACUGUCACGCAGGGGCAUCACACUGACUGCAGAUCAUUAAUACGGGAUUGAUGGAUGUUUAAUAAGUAAACCCUGCACUGUACUCAGACCUGAACGCUUUAAGGUGAGUUGUAGCUUCCCAGUGUAGACAUUUGUGUAGUGAAUGUUCUGAAGUGUUGCCCCAGGGAAGGGAAAUGGUGAGGUUAGAAGUGCUGCAUUGUUCCAGUCAAGAAAAUGUGAGGAUUUCAGAGGUAGGAAUGGCAGGUUUACAUGGUGGAAAGAUGUCAUCCUGCUCAGGCGUUUCAGAGACUUCUCAGGCUUUUUUACCGUGCAGAAAUAACAGAACACAACAGGGCAGGAGCAGUCCCAGCUCCUCUGAUGGGACAGGGCAGGUUUGAGGGGCAGUUUGAGCUCCUCUGAUGGGACAGGGCAGGUUUGAGGAGCAGUUUGAGCUCCUCUGAUGGGACAGGGCAGGUUUGAGGAGCAGUUUGAGCUCCUCUGAUGGGACAGGGCAGGUUUGAGGAGCAGUUUGAGCCCCUCUGAUGGGACAGGGCAGGUUUGAGGAGCAGUUUGAGCUCCUCUGAUGGGACAGGGCAGGUUUGAGGAGCAGUUUGAGCUCCUCUGAUGGGACGGGGCAGGUUUGAGGGGCAGUUUGAGCUCCUCUGAUGGGACAGGGCAGGUUUGAGGAGCAGUUUGAGCUCCUCUGAUGGGACAGAGCAGGUUUGAGGGGCAGUUUGAGCUCCUCUGAUGGGACAGGGCAGGUUUGAGGGGCAGUUUGAGCUCCUCUGAUGGGACAGGGCAGGUUUGAGGAGCAGUUUGAGCCCCUCUGAUGGGACUGGGCAGGUUUGAGGAGCAGUUUGAGCUCCUCUGAUGGGACAGGGCAGGUUUGAGGAGCAGUUUGAGCUCCUCUGAUGGGACAGGGCAGGUUUGAGGAGCAGUUUGAGCUCCUCUGAUGGGACAGGGCAGGUUUGAGGAGCAGUCCCAGCCCCUCUGAUGGGACAGGGCAGGUUUGAG